rnacentral:lncRNA from 1 species
GGAAAAGGAACUCACUGGGAAGACCUAGUGUUUCAGUUUUAACUAUUAACCAAUAGUGGAAAAACAAGGAUGCCUAAGUUAUGCCUUCAGAGCCAAUAGGGUGGAUUUGUGUGCCCCACAUGACAGCAUUUCCCUUGUCUUUCACAUGGGCCGUAUUUAGUUCAAUUCAGAACUGCAGAUAGUACAGCUUGCACAGCAGCAAUGGGAUGUCUGAGCACAAGUGGCUGACUUCCAAGUGACUUUAUGAAGCACUUUUGUACUUUCCUUCUGCAUUGAAUUGGGAUCUGCAUCCUUGACAUUCACCCACCACACUCAUCUCUACUGAAGGAAACAGUGACUAGCACAGCUUUGCAGUAUGAAACUGUCCAGUGUCAAUACAAUAUGAAGAUGUGGCAUUUGAGAGGGUUUUCUUUUAAAAUGGAGGAACACCAUGAAGAAUGGAACAGAAGAACAGGAUCAAAGCCUGGAGAGUUGCCAGUUCCUUGCUGUAGGAUUGUAAUAGAACAGGCCAAGGAAGGUGACAACUUCAAGGCAUCGUUAAAAAGAGUCAAGAUGGUCAUGUGGGUAAGAUGUGGACUGGGAGCUGGCACCACCCCCAGCCCCGGCCUGACCCGACCCCAAGCCAACCCCUUCCCCAAAGUCCCUGUCCCAACUCCACUCCCUCCCUGCUCCUAAUGGACUCCUUCCCCAAAUCCCCGGUCCUUCCCCAAGCACACCACAUUCC